rnacentral:rRNA from 1 species
GCGUCGGUAAGGUGAUAUGAACCGUUAUAACCGGCGAUUUCCGAAUGGGGAAACCCAGUGUGUUUCGACACACUAUCAUUAACUGAAUCCAUAGGUUAAUGAGGCGAACCGGGGGAACUGAAACAUCUAAGUACCCCGAGGAAAAGAAAUCAACCGAGAUUCCCCCAGUAGCGGCGAGCGAACGGGGAGCAGCCCAGAGCCUGAAUCAGUAUGUGUGUUAGUGGAAGCGUCUGGAAAGGCGCGCGAUACAGGGUGACAGCCCCGUACACAAAAAUGCACAUGCUGUGAGCUCGAUGAGUAGGGCGGGACACGUGGUAUCCUGUCUGAAUAUGGGGGGACCAUCCUCCAAGGCUAAAUACUCCUGACUGACCGAUAGUGAACCAGUACCGUGAGGGAAAGGCGAAAAGAACCCCGGCGAGGGGAGUGAAAAAGAACCUGAAACCGUGUACGUACAAGCAGUGGGAGCACGCUUAGGCGUGUGACUGCGUACCUUUUGUAUAAUGGGUCAGCGACUUAUAUUCUGUAGCAAGGUUAACCGAAUAGGGGAGCCGAAGGGAAACCGAGUCUUAACUGGGCGUUAAGUUGCAGGGUAUAGACCCGAAACCCGGUGAUCUAGCCAUGGGCAGGUUGAAGGUUGGGUAACACUAACUGGAGGACCGAACCGACUAAUGUUGAAAAAUUAGCGGAUGACUUGUGGCUGGGGGUGAAAGGCCAAUCAAACCGGGAGAUAGCUGGUUCUCCCCGAAAGCUAUUUAGGUAGCGCCUCGUGAAUUCAUCUCCGGGGGUAG